ACAAGUUAGAUGUAGUAGUGGCAGUUGAAGCGCCAGAUGACCCAAAAAGGGACGACCCAGAAUUUGCAGUGGAUGAAGCCGUCCCAAACAGGAAUGAAAAUGAACUUGCAGAGGAUGACGGUAUACCAAACAGGGAUGGCCCAGAACUGGCUGCAGACGAAGUUUUUCCGAACAAAGAUGGGGCAGAGCUCGCCGCCGAUGAAUUGCCAACCAGAGGUGAAGGAGAACUCGCUGCAGACGUAGUAGUGCCAAACAGGGGCGAAGGAGAACUUUCUACAGACGAAGCAAUGCCAAACAGGUAACUUGCUCCUAAUGAAGUUGAUCCAACUAAGGAUGAAGCGCUUGUUCCAAACAAUGGUGAAGAAGUAAUUCCCCCAGACAAAGACGAGCUGGUACUGGCUGCCACCGGUCCCGCUGUUUGGAAUGGAGGCGAGGCAGUACCUGCCGGAUAAGAAACAUUCCCAAACAGAGGAGAAGCAUAACUCGCGACAGAAGAAACAGUCCCAAACGAGGCACAGGCAGAACUCGCAGCAGAAGAAA
rnacentral:misc_RNA from 1 species